UCAGAUGGCCGGGCGGUCGCGGGCGCAAGCUCGAGGAAAGUCCGGGCUCCACGACGACAUGGCGGCGGGUAACGCCCGCCGGGGGUGACCCUAGGGAUAGCGCCACAGAGAGCAGACCGCCCUACUCCGCCAAGGCUACGCAGGGCUUCGCCCUCCGAAGCCGAAAGCGAAGGAGGGUAAGGGUGAAAGGGUGCGGUAAGAGCGCACCGGGCCGCUGGCAACAGGGGUCGCAUGGCAAGCCCCGCCAGGAGCAAGACCGAAUAGGGAUCCCGCGCCCGCCAGGUCCGCAAGGAAACCGGCGGGUAGGGCCGUCGCCGGCCCGAGGGCUCCGGGUAGGUCGCGAGAACCGGCCCGCGAGGGUCGGUCCAGAGGAAUGACCGCCGCGUCCCCGCUCUUCGCAAGUAGAGAGGGGGCGGCACAGAACCCGGCUUACAGGCCGUCUGAUCCA
rnacentral:RNase_P_RNA from 1 species